GACGUGAAGCGCUCAGUGCAAUCGCAAGUAUACAAUCAGUUAAGGAAUCGGCAAUUGCAAGUACAAAGUCUGAACCGUCAAAUGUGAAACCCACAGUAGAAUCCAUCACAGUGAAAUAAGAAAUAAAUCUAUUGCUUCAGCCUUAACUGGUGUAACCUCCAUAAUUUAUUCUCUUCCAGGCUUGCCACUGAACAGAAUCGAAAACUUGAAAGUGAAAAUGUUUGUCAACAUUAUCUGGAACCUUGUCAACUCUAUAAUUGCUUCAUUAAUCCAGAACUAACAAAAGCUACACCAUAAAUAAUGCAAAAGACCAUAAUCAUCCAUCUCAUAUUACAUUAGCGACCACGGAUUCU
rnacentral:misc_RNA from 1 species